rnacentral:lncRNA from 1 species
GCUAAUGGGUAAAAUGAUGGUGUUUAACACGUGAAAUUUAAAAUCGUCAUAACUUCUUACCCGGUUAUCGAAUUUGGGCAAAUUUUAUAUCAUUGGAAAUCUGAUUUAAUUUCCUACGCAAUGGCAGGCUCUAAACUGAAAAAUAAUAAGUGUUUUGGAAAUUUUAUAUAUGAAUACUCAUGCACUAGGACUUAGAUUAUGCUAGGGAAAUACGGAGUGUUACAAUAUCUCCCCC